CCAUGCAGUCGACGAAGCCUUCGGGCUUAGUGGCGCACGGGUGCGUAACGCGUGGGAAUCUGCCCUUGGGUUCGGAAUAACUCGGAGAAAUCCGUGCUAAUACCGGAUGAUGACGUAAGUCCAAAGAUUUAUCGCCCAAGGAUGAGCCCGCGUAGGAUUAGCUAGUUGGUGGGGUAAAGGCCCACCAAGGCGACGAUCCUUAGCUGGUCUGAGAGGAUGAUCAGCCACACUUGGACUGAGACACGGCCCAGACUCCUACGGGAGGCAGCAGUGGGGAAUAUUGGACAAUGGGCGAAAGCCUGAUCCAGCAAUGCCGCGUGAGUGAUGAAGGCCUUAGGGUUGUAAAGCUCUUUUACCCGGGAUGAUAAUGACAGUACCGGGAGAAUAAGCUCCGGCUAACUCCGUGCCAGCAGCCGCGGUAAUACGGAGGGAGCUAGCGUUAUUCGGAAUUACUGGGCGUAAAGCGCACGUAGGCGGCUUUGUAAGUUAGAGGUGAAAGCCUGGAGCUUAACUCCAGAACUGCCUUUAAGACUGCAUCGCUUGAAUCCAGGAGAGGUGAGUGGAAUUCCGAGUGUAGAGGUGAAAUUCGUAGAUAUUCGGAAGAACACCAGUGGCGAAGGCGGCUCACUGGACUGGUAUUGACGCUGAGGUGCGAGAGCGUGGGGAGCAAACAGGAUUAGAUACCCUGGUAGUCCACGCCGUAAACGAUGAUAACUAGCUGUCGGGGCACUUGGUGCUUCGGUGGCGCACCUAACGCUUUAAGUUAUCCGCCCUGGGGGAGUACGGCCGCCAAGGUUAAAACUCAAAUGAAUUGACCGGGGGCCUGCACAAGCGGUGGACCAUGUGGUUUAAUUUC
rnacentral:rRNA from 1 species